UGCAGUCGAACGAGAAAGUGGAGCAAUCCAUGAGUACAGUGGCGUACGGGUGAGUAACACGUGGGUAAUCUACCUCUUAGUGGGGAAUAACUCUGGGAAACCGGAGCUAAUACCGCAUAAUCUCGAGAGAGGAAAGCAGCAAUGCGCUGAGAGAGGAGCCCGCGGCCGAUUAGCUAGUUGGCAGGGUAAAAGCCUACCAAGGCAGAGAUCGGUAGCCGGCCUGAGAGGGCACACGGCCACACUGGCACUGAAACACGGGCCAGACUCCUACGGGAGGCAGCAGUGGGGAAUCUUGCACAAUGGGGGAAACCCUGAUGCAGCGACGCCGCGUGAGCGAUGAAGCCCUUCGGGGUGUAAAGCUCUUUCGGCAGGGAAGAUGGUGACGGUACCUGCAGAAGCAGCUGCGGCUAACUACGUGCCAGCAGCCGCGGUAAUACGUAGGCAGCGAGCGUUGUUCGGAGUUACUGGGCGUAAAGGGUGUGUAGGCGGUUGUUUAAGUUUGGUGUGAAAUCUCCCGGCUCAACUGGGAGGGUGCGCCGAAUACUGAGCGACUAGAGUGCGGGAGAGGAAAGUGGAAUUCCUGGUGUAGCGGUGAAAUGCGUAGAUAUCAGGAGGAACACCGGUGGUGUAGACGGCUUUCUGGACCGUAACUGACGCUGAGACACGAAAGCGUG
rnacentral:rRNA from 1 species